GACGAACGCUGGCGGCGUGCUUAACACAUGCAAGUCGAACGGAAAGGCCCUGCUUUUGUGGGUUGCUCGAGUGGCGAACGGGUGAGUAACACGUGAGUAACCUGCCCUUGACUUUGGGAUAACUUCAGGAAACUGGGGCUAAUACCGGAUAGGAGCUCCUGCUGCAUGGUGGGGGUUGGAAAGUUUCGGCGGUUGGGGAUGGACUCGCGGCUUAUCAGCUUGUUGGUGGGGUAGUGGCUUACCAAGGCUUUGACGGGUAGCCGGCCUGAGAGGGUGACCGGCCACAUUGGGACUGAGAUACGGCCCAGACUCCUACGGGAGGCAGCAGUGGGGAAUAUUGCACAAUGGGCGGAAGCCUGAUGCAGCAACGCCGCGUGAGGGAUGACGGCCUUCGGGUUGUAAACCGCUUUCGCCUGUGACGAAGCGUGAGUGACGGUAAUGGGUAAAGAAGCACCGGCUAACUACGUG
rnacentral:rRNA from 1 species